rnacentral:rRNA from 1 species
GUGCCAGCAGCCGCGGUAAUACGGAGGGUGCGGGCGUGAAUCGGAAUUACUGGGCGGAAAGCGUGCGCAGGCGGUUUUGUAAGACAGGCGUGAAAUCCCCGGGCUCAACCAGAGAACUGCGCUUGUGACUGCAAGGCUAGAGUACGGCAGAGGGGGGUGGAAUUCCACGUGUAGCAGUGAAAUGCGUAGAGAUGUGGAGGAACACCAAUGGCGAAGGCAGCCCCCUGGGUCGAUACUGACGCUCAUGCACGAAAGCGUGGGUAGCGAACAGGAUUAGAUACCCUGGUAGUCCACGCCCUAA